rnacentral:rRNA from 1 species
UACGGAGGGUGCAAGCGUUAUCCGGAUUUACUGGGUCUAAAGGGUGCGUAGGCGGGCUUUUAAGUCAGCGGUGAAAUCUCCGGGCUCAACCCGGAAAUUGCCGUUGAUACUAUUAGUCUUGAAUUAAGUUGAGGUGGGCGGAAUAUGUCAUGUAGCGGUGAAAUGCUUAGAUAUGACAUAGAACACCGAUUGCGAAGGCAGCUCGCUAAAACUUAUAUUGACGCUGAGGCACGAAAAGCGUGGGGGAUCAAACAGG